rnacentral:rRNA from 1 species
UACAGAGGGGGCAAGCGUUGUUCGGAAUUACUGGGCGUAAAGGGCGCGUAGGCGGCCUCUUAAGUCGAACGUGAAAUCCCCGGGCUCAACCCGGGAACUGCGUCCGAUACUGGAUGGCUUGAAUUCGGGAGAGGGAUGCAGAAUUCCAGGUGUAGCGGUGAAAUGCGUAGAUAUCUGGAGGAAUACCGGUGGCGAAGGCGGCAUCCUGGACCGACAUUGACGCUGAUGAGCGAAAGCUAGGGGAGCAAACGGG